CUGAGCCUGAACAGAGGGAGAGGGGAGUAAAUAAGGGGCUGUUGCCAGAGCCUGAGCCCACCAGAGAAAGUCUGUGUGCAGAGGGAGGGCCUCAGGUCCUGCUGCUCCUUCAUCUUGACCCCUUCACACCCUCCUCUAACAGGGACCUCGACCUCCCUUCUCCACUCUCCUGGAUCCUGCUCAGUGUGGUGCAGGCCUUCUCUGGGGCCCUGGAGUUCCCACUGACCUUCAGCCCCGCCAGUUGCAUCUGCUGUUCCCACUGAAGACUCUCAUGCUAGUCAGUUCCUGCCUGGGGUCACCAGACUGCUUCGAAGUCAGGAAGAACAUGGUGGGGACGGUGACUUGAGUUUCCUGGACCACAGUGCAGGUCCUGUUCUCUACGAGUGAAUAUCCUAAUGACCAUAAUAAAGCCAGUUCCCUUUUUGGGGACUGACAUUUGUUGAGAACUCCCC
rnacentral:lncRNA from 1 species